rnacentral:lncRNA from 1 species
CCCGGUGUACUUGUAUUUGAUUAUGGACAUUGUCUCGCCCGGGUAUGCCCGGUGUAUUUGUACAUGGUACAUUUUUUAUCUAUAUAUUUACAUUUACCGAUCAAAAAAUAAAUAAAUAAUGCAACCUCCAUUAUCAUUCGAGGGCUCUUUUCCUUUGCAGAAUGUCACGUUCAACGAAAUCUCGAAGUUUCAUUUCUUGGCGUUUUGAGCUAGAUGUUCGAACAUGCUUGGCAAUUUGUGCUUCUACAACUGUGACAAACACCAUAAUUCCUUCCUCUCAUCCCUAUGCGGCAAACUAUAUUUAGAGGAUUUCAUUACAAACUAAAAUGAAAUAGAGAUCCCGAAAAAACAACUCGAUAAAAACUUAAGCAACAUUCUAUACCACCAUAGGAAUCCAACAAAUAAAUUCUACCAUCCAACGUAGAAUUCAAAGAACAUUCCAGCAACAGACCAUCAAAAUAAUCAAAAUUGAUAUGAAAAUCAUUCCAGCAACGAACAUUCCAUCACCAGAAAAUCAUUCAAAGAACAUUCCAGCAAUGACUUCUAAAUUCGAUAGGACCAAUUCCAUCAAAAUCAUCAAAAUUCAAAGAACAUUCCAGCAACGACUUCUACUUGCACUUACAGGUAUAACCGAAAAUCAUCAAAAUUGAAAUGGGAUACUAUCAUCACCAGAAAAACAGACCAUAUGAAUCACAAUUUAAAUGUGCUCUCAUUUCACUUUCUCUAGCCAAAUAUAGUGAUUUAAUACUUCUAAACAAAUAGAUUAUGAAAGUAAUUUACCAUCUAAACUCGAUAAGACCAAUUUCAACAAGUUAUAAAUGCCUCUAUUUUUCUGUACAUAUCAAAAUAAUGAAAAAUUCAAUAAUGAAAGUUAAAUCGGAACAAAAAAAUCCAUCGCAUACCAUGCCAUAAGCUGCAGAUUAACAGGUUUUCAAGAACAUGAAGAUUAUAUAAAAACCUAAAAAAAAUACCUUCCCAAGAAAUGUGCAGAGGAUAUGAAACAAAUAAUAAACUUUACUCGCAAAAUGGGUUAGAGAUAAGGUCUGAAGAUGUUGGCCUCCCAAUGGAACCGCUGAACGACGCCGGCCGGAGAGAGUCACAACUACGACGGCAAAAUGGGUAGGAGGUUAGGGUUUAUGCAAGAGUAAUAGUUAUAUAGCUGAAAACCUUGGGCUUAUUCAUAGUUCAAUCAAGCGAAAUUUGCUGGAGAUGAAAACCAAGUCGACGGCGUAAUCUUGAUGGGUGUACGAUCCGUCCCGACUCAACCUAAUUGACUCGACACGUGUCGUGUGCCGGUGGUAGAUGCCAGUUAAACGCCGGACCCACCACCAAGGCAACUUUGACUUGUUUGACUGAAAAAUAUUUUUAACAGAAUUUUGACAAAAUUUCCUCUAAAAUACAAACUAAAACUACCUGAACAAUAACCAAUUUUUCUCAAAUCAAUACCUAUAAUAUAAAUCAGGGUAUACCAGACCCUCAAAAAUACAAACUAUUCAAAUAUAAUGCUAGGAAAUCAAUAUUUACUUGCUUUACAACCAAUAAUCUUCAAAAGUACUAAAGAUACCAAAUAUCUAAUGAGCCCAUAAUGAACUUUUCUGAUUUAACCUAUGUGUAUCCCAAAAGAACACAAUGUAUAAUCCGAUAAAAGAUGUCAUACAACCUAUGACGCAUGGCUCAAUUCGGUGGUUCGACAUGCUCCAAAACUGCUCAAUUUGUCUGUUUUCUGUCUGAUAAAGAAAAAAUGUGAAAAAAUAUAUGAGCUUAAAGCUCAGUGAGUGGAUAAUUUACAAAUAAACAUAUUUUUCUUUUAUGCAUAUAUUUUGAAAAUUCUUGCUCUAUCAAAACUUUGAAAAAUUCUAAAAUCUGGUAACACUUUUAAAACUAAACAUAAUUUCAUCAUAAAAUUCUUUGUUCUAAAUUCUAGAUAAGUAUAUGUAAGGUAUAACAAUUAUAAAGAAUCUGAUAUUCAUGAAAAUCUAUGAAAUAUUGCUGCUGCUCUAUACUAGAAGCUGAACGCUUUAUUCUGAAAACUGAAUUCCAUAAUCUGAAAUCUAAGAACUGAAUAAGUUCUGAAAAAUCACACCAUAAAGAGUACCCAAUUAAUAGCCUUACACAUGCAUAGAGUAAUCUCGAUGUACAAGGCAAAGACAUUCAAAUCUGAUAAUCUGAUAGCUGAUAAUCUGGUCAUACGUACGCAGAGCUGCCCCAAAGGCUAAUCACCUUAGUACACGGCCCAAAGCCUAUGUGUGUACGAGAGUGGGUCCCAAAGACCUCUGAUAUUCUGGUCAUACACUAUGGAAACACAUUCACGAUAGUGCAGAGCGGGUAAAAUCACUAUAACUAAUCAUACACUGUGGAAACACAUUCACAUCAGUGCAAACUGGGGUAAAAUCACCUGGGUACUUUCUGGUGGUUUUUAGAAAUAACUUUAACUGUACUGAAACAUGUAAUAAGAAUAUAACAAGCUUUCAAAAUAAUUUAACUGAACUGAAUUUAACUAUAAAAGCAAUUGAUAAUAAAAUCCAUUUUAUUCUGAAAAUAAUGCUAUGAAGUCAACUUUAUAAAAUAAAUAACUUUAAAAUUUAAAGAAGACUUAUUUCUGAAAAAUAAGUUUUAUCCACUCACUCUAAACAAGCUACUGGUUAUGAUGGUCGACAAGUUUUUCCCAUCUCUUUGCCACCACCUGAAAGACAAUGUAAAAUAACUAAUUUAACCACUAUCCUGCUAAGUAGUAGUUCUAAAUAUUGAUGAUCGAAUCUAAAACUUGAUUUCUCGAUACUUGAAUAAUUUUCCCCCAAUUUCCCUUAAUCACUUUAAGCUAAUUCCUCACAAUAACCUUUAUUCUAAUCAUGAGAAUAACUACCCCAUCUUCCAAUCUAGCAAAACUAAUAACCAUAAUUCAACCAAUUAAAUUUACAUUUUGUUCCAUAAAACCAUUCUUCCAAGUGAAUAUUUCGUGAUAACUAUCAUUUUCCCAAACUACCUUUACUCUAGAAUCUAAUUAAAAUUCUAGGGUUUAACAAAAAUGGUAUAACUUAGCUUGUAUAUACACAACCCCUAUAAAUAAUUCCAAUACAUAGGCUUUAACAUUUGUCAUAUAUCUUCAUUCAAACCUUUAGAAUCUGAAAAUCAAAUGUUUGACAAAAACGGCACUAAAGUUCCACAAUAUUGAAUUACGACACCAAAUUCUGUAUAUUGAAAACUGUCACCAAAAUAUGGACAGAAUUAACACUUUUCUGGGAAAAUUUCGAAAAUAGCACCUUCAUUACAUAAUCCGAAAAUUUCUUUAGGAAAAUGGAGAAUUUCAACAUCAAAUCCUUAAUUUAAGUGUUUAACAUCAUAUAAUCCCAAGAAUUUCAAAGAAUGUGUAUUUCUUUCACAACCCAUCUCAAAUUCCACUUUCUUCAACACUAAUUGACAAUUAAAUAUUUCUUUGCCAUAAUUUAGUUAUAACCUGAAAUACAUAUUCAUAAUCUUUAAUUCUUGUCAAACUUUAAACAUGAGUAAUUGUUUACAAACCUUAAAUUUAAGAAUUAUUUCCCAUAAAUACAUCUUUUACUUACCUGAAGAAAUUAAGGAAUAACUUUAAGGACCAUCUUGGUAGUGCCAUCAUUUUUUUUUUCUUCCUCUUCCUUUUCUUUCUUCUUCUCUUUUUUUCUUUCUUUUGUCGGUUUUUCUCCCUGUUUCUGCCCCCGUUUCCAGCUUCUUUAUGUGUAUGUACGUAUUAUGAAAAAU